GAUGAACGCUGGCGGCAGGCUUAACACAUGCAAGUCGAGCGAGCGGCGGACGGGUGAGUAAUGUCUGGGAAACUGCCUGAUGGAGGGGGAUAACUACUGGAAACGGUAGCUAAUACCGCAUACCAUCAGAUGUGCCCCGAUGGGAUUAGCUAGUAGGUGGGGUAAUGGCUCACCUCGGCGACGAUCCCUAGCUGGUCGGAGAGGAUGACCAGCCACACUGGAACUGUGGCACGGGCCAGACGCCUACGGGAGGCAGCAGUGGGAAAUAUUGUACAAUGGGCGAAAGCCGGAUGAAGCCAUGCCGCGUGUGUGAAGAAGGCCUUCGGGUUGUAAAGCACUUUCAGCGAGGAGGCGUUACUCGCAGAAGAAGCACCGGCUAACUCCGUGCCAGCCGCCGCGGUAAUAC
rnacentral:rRNA from 1 species